rnacentral:rRNA from 1 species
GUAGGUGGCAAGCGUUGUCCGGAAUUAUUGGGCGUAAAGCGCGCGCAGGCGGUCCUUUAAGUCUGAUGUGAAAGCCCACGGCUCAACCGUGGAGGGUCAUUGGAAACUGGGGGACUUGAGUACAGAAGAGGAAAGCGGAAUUCCAAGUGUAGCAGUGAAAUGCGUAGAGAUUUGGAGGAACACCAGUGGCGAAGGCGGCUUUCUGGUCUGUAACUGACGCUGAGGCGCGAAAGCGUGGGGAGCAAACAGGAUUAGAUACCCUGGUAGUCCACGCCGUAAACGAUGAGUGCUAAGUGUUAGGGGGUUUCCGCCCCCCUUAGUGCUGCAGCUAACGCAUUAAGCACUCCGCCUGGGAGUACGGCCGCAAGGCUG